AACGCGAAGAACCUUACCAAGGCUUGACAUAUAGCGAAAAGUGGCAGAGAUGUCAUGUCCGCAGAGGCGCUAUACAGGUGGUGCAUGGUUGUCGUCAGCUCGUGUCGUGAGAUGUUGGGUUAAGUCCCGCAACGAGCGCAACCCUCGUUCUGUGUUACCAGCAUUAAGUUGGGGACUCACAGGAGACUGCCGGGGUCAACUCGGAGGAAGGUGGGGAUGACGUCAAAUCAUCAUGCCCCUUAUGUCUUGGGCUGCACGCAUGCUACAAUGGCCGGUACAAAGUGCUGCGAAAUCGUAAGAUUUAGCGAAUCACAUAAAGCCGGUCUCAGUUCGGAUUGAGGUAUGCAACUCGACCUCAUGAAGUCGGAGUUGCUAGUAAUCGUAGAUCAGCAACGCUACGGUGAAUACGUUCCCGGGUCUUGUACACACCG
rnacentral:rRNA from 1 species